GAUGAACGCUGGCGGCGUGCCUAAUACAUGCAAGUCGAGCGAACAGACGAGGAGCUUGCUCCUCUGACGUUAGCGGAGGACGGGUGAGUAACACGUGGAUAACCUACCUAUAAGACUGGGAUAACUUCGGGAAACCGGAGCUAAUACCGGAUAAUAUAUUGAACCGCAUGGUUCAAUAGUGAAAGACGGUUUUGCUGUCACUUAUAGAUGGAUCCGCGCCGCAUUAGCUAGUUGGUAAGGUAACGGCUUACCAAGGCAACGAUGCGUAGCCGACCUGAGAGGGUGAUCGGCCACACUGGAACUGAGACACGGUCCGGACGCCUGCGGGAGGCAGCAGUAGGGAAUCUUCCGCAAUGGGCGAAAGCCUGACGGAGCAACGCCGCGUGAGUGAUGAAGGUCUUCGGAUCGUAAAACUCUGUUAUGAGGGAAGAACAAAUGUGGAAGUAACUAUGCACGUCUUGACGGUACCUAAUCAGAAAGCCACGGCUAACUACGUG
rnacentral:rRNA from 1 species